CACUAGGGUAAUUCCGUUCCAUAUAUAGAAACGUUUCUAUAUUUGGAAACGAUGUUCCAUAUAUAGAAACGCUUGUUCCAAAUAUGGAAACGCUGCGUUUCUAUAUUUGGAAACGGUAGGUGUAUGCUCACCUGUUUGACGAUCUUCGCAAGCUCUGGCGAAAUUUCGCACAAAACGGUUUCCACCAGUGACAAGCCAACAUUUGAGUUUAUAAUCGCAAGGAGGCCCGAAGAAAUCCAUGGUGGCCCUUGGUAAUGACGACGAUUUGAUUUCCGGUUUGUGUAAAAUGUAGAAGAAAUUGCGAAUAAGAGAAAAACUUCUAUUAAGGUUUCCCUUCAAAUAUGACGUCCAGAACCCGAUUUGGGCUGAUUUUUGGCAGAAUAUUGGCUAAUUUGGGCUAAAUAGAUGUUUUAAGUUUUGGCGAAAUUGAUGUGUCAUUUUCACCCGAGUGCUUCCUUGUUGCCACUAGAUGGCAUUCCACCAUCUAGAAAGUUAUAUAACGCAUCUUGCUUUAAAAUAAAUCGUCCGGAAGGUUGGCGUUUCUAUUUAUGGAACGAGCGUUUCUAUAUAUGGAACAAAAAACAUUUCAAAUAUAGAAACGUUUCCAAAUAUAGAAACGUUUCUAUAUAUGGAACGGAAUUACCCUAGUGCGCCCGACUGAUUUGAGUACAAUAACAUAUUCGAUUCAAUAUUAUCCGAUUCAUAUUCGAUUGAUAACGAUUCAAUGAGGAAAUGCUGACUGCGAUGCAUGUCUUCCAUUUUUAAAAAUGGCCGGCGAAGUUGUCGUUGAUGCCCUGCCGUACAUCGAUCAGGGUUAUGAAGAGGCGGGUGUGAGGGAGGCUGCUUUGGCCCUGGUUGAUGAAGAAACUCGUCGCUAUCGCCCGACGAAGAAUUAUUUGGACCACCUCCCGCCUUUGAAUUUAUCUCAGUAUGAGACUGAGGUGAUGCGUGCCGAGUUUGACCGACUGGCCGCCCGCCAGCCCAUGGAAAUGCUCAGCAUGAAGCGGUACGAACUGCCCACUCCUCCGUCUGGAAAGAUGACGGACAUCAGUGCCUGGAAUGAGUGUGUCGAUAACUCGAUGGCUCAGCUCGAGCACCAGGCCACCAGGAUAGAAAAUCUGGAGCUGAUGAUGGACCACGGUUGCGAAGCCUGGAAGAUUUACAAUGAGGUUCUGGUCAAGAUGGCGUCGGAUGCACAGAAACAGCUGCAGGAUGUCAAAAAGAACAUACAAGAGGUGAACUGGAAAAGGAAACAGGCGCAACAGAAUGCCGGCGGUGAGUUGAGAAGACUGGAAGAAACUUGGGUCGGCUUAGUGAGCAAGAACUAUGAAAUCGAACAAGCGUGUGUGAACCUUGAGAGAGAACUCGCAAAGCUGAAGGACGAAAUGAGCUUUGUGCAAAGCGAAUGAGUGCGCGCCGACCUUAUCAUUUGGUGUUCAUGUGUCGACUUUUUUAUUUUGUCUAGGAGCCGGUGGGCUCAUUUCACUAUUGGACGAGAUACGGGGCUAGAACGAGUUCCGCCUGUCCCGGUUGUCGCGACAGUCUGACUUCACCUACUGUGUUCCACUGCUGCUGCAGAUGGAUUUAAUGUUGCACUGUCUGGUCAGCAUUGAUAAAUACAUCAUCACGAAAGGUAUGAAAAA